rnacentral:sRNA from 1 species
GAUGUAAACCGAGGUCCUGUCACGGUCGC